CCCACAUAUGGGGCCUCUUCAGAGACGCAGCGGAAGACAUCUUUUUGAUAAAGUGUAUUGAGAGGCAAAGGGAUGAAAAACAAUGCGAGAAUCAUGCACAAAUUUAAACUGUAAAGAGGAAUGUGUGAACGGUGAAACCGUGGGUCCUCUCCACUGCAGUAAGAACUAUUUUAACUGGUGCAGCACACAGAAUUAAGUCCACCUACUAGAACCCCCUACUGCAAACAAGGAUAAGGAUGCUACCUGGACUUCGUUUGAUGAAUAGUUUUAAUUAAAAUAUUCUGUACCAUAAGUAUUUUAAUGUUACAGACAAACCAAAGAGUCAGAUCCAGAAGUCCUACUGAAGUCAGCGGAAGAUUUUUCUUUGCAUUAAUGAAUUUCUGAGCGCUCCUUACUUUCAAAAGAUAGCAACAUUUAAAUGCAAGUUGCACCAGUGUAGGAGUUACAUACACACAUGCAGGGCCCCAACCUCAUAAACUCUUUCUCUGUAAAAAAAACCAGGGGUUUCGUCCUAUUAGAGAGAUACCUGAACCAAGCAUUGCCUCACGUGUCACAGGACACCUACCUGAAAUUCUUUUAAUAGCUACUUGUUCAUAUAAGAAUGUUAAGGCAAGCUAAAAGGUGCAGAGUUGCUUUGACUGCAGUGCUGUGUUAGGGGAGAGCAAAUAUGUAAAUUGGGCAAAACUCCAUUAAAUUACUGUCUCAAAAUUGUUUUUAUAAUAUUAAUGUCAUGCCAAAGAUGUGAAUUUACAGACCAUGUUCUUCACUACCAUUUAUCAAAAUGGUAAAGGUAUUUUCUUCAUCACAGAGAUCUGGUCUAACAUUCAUUUAUUGUAUUCAUAUUUAAAGUCUUCUCCAUGUCUUUCAAUCACAUAUUUUCCUUCUAAUUAAGGCAUAUUCACUUUUUUUGCUAAUUAGGUAUUCUUUGUUGCACAAUGUUUGCUCUAAUCUUUUGGAAUUUCUCUCAAUAUCUAGUCAUUGCCUUCAUUACUGGCUCCCCUAGAAUCCAACUAAAGCAUGUUAUUUUUUCUGCUAAUUAUAUCCUCAUUUACAGAUUGUUGCCUUCUCUGAUUGGCUCUUUAAACCAGUUGCUAUGACUUCAUUAGCAAUGUCUUCUGACCCUGUUAUUUCUUGUGACAGGAUUUGCUCCACUUGUCCUGUAGCACUGCAUCCCAGGGUCACUCCUCUCCUGGGUUGGAAUAGUGUCAAACACAAAAGGUUUAGGGCAGAGAAAAUCACUGCUGAAGUUGCUAAUUACCACAUGCAGUAACGGUACAA